GGCGCCUGGGCUCGGCGCAGCGCUUGGUGCAGCUGGACUCCCGGCGCACUGGCGCGGCUUAGAGAGACGCACAGCUCACGAAAUGUUCGGCGUCUAAGACCUUCGGAGACCACAGUCUCCGCGGACCCCUGGCUGGAGCCCAAAGCCGGCUGGACCUCCUCCCGCGUCUCCCCUUCCGCGGCUCGGAGAGGAAGGCAGGAGAACCCCCAGAUAUCAUUCCCCUCUCGCCCCCUAGGGAAACUGUGGCUGAAAGAGCCAGCCAGAGAAAGAAAAAAAAAGUCGCGGAGGGGGGCGGCCCGAGCGACCUAAGGGACUGGGCAACGCCAGCGACGGAGGGAAAUUGGUCGGGUUGAGGGGACAAAGAGACAAGCCCCCAGAAUUUGGGAGACUCCGAAGCUUGGAGCUUGGAGUCCUGAAAUUGACUCAGAUGACAACUGCUCCGAAUCUGUGCCAGGAGCCACGCCCCGGGCUGCUCGCCCGGAGGGAGGGGGGCCCUAACACCUGUUGCGCGGAAUCCCCACUGGGAAAACCUCAGUAAACUCCAGAACGCAACUACUGCAUGUUCCAAUCUCCCGCCACCUUUCCAGUGUCUCAGGAAGAGCUGAAGAGAGACCUGAAAAUUAAGGACAAAAAAGACCUGAUGCAGGUGGCUCAGGCCACAGCAGUAGCUGCACCUUGCCCCACCAGUGACGGCAGCUCCUCCAGCCCCUCCACCUUCACCUCCUGCUCCACCUGCUGUGCAACACCCUGUCCUGUCCACACCGACCGUACCUGCUGCUUCCCAGAAGAGGAAGGGGGAAGAGGAAAAAGACUCAAGCUCAAAGUCCAACAAGGAGAAAAUGAUCUCUGCUAAGGACACAAAGCUUUACUGUAUCUGUAAAGUGCCUUAUGAUGAAUCUACGUGGGUAGAUCUUUUUGAGCUCUAGUUUUUUGUCUUGAAAGUUUAGCUAUGAAAUUGAAAGUUUUGAAGAAAAUGAAUAUUUUGGGAGUGAUAUAAAUGAAAAUAUUAAAUUUAAGAGUAAUGUUUCAUCUAUGGUCUUGCAUGUGAUAUUCUUACCCUUGACACUAGUGAAGUAAAAUUUGCUAUUUCAUGUGUUUGUGAUUGUCCUUUGUUAUCUUCUUUUCUGUCAAAAACAAGCUUUCUGUUGCUCCUUUGCUUUCUCCUCUUCCCUCUGAAUUAACUCCAAAUCAAUGACUAAUUGAUGUCUGGAGAAGGAGAUGUGUUACUGUUGCCCAAAAUGGGGAGCAUCCUUUCUGAGAUCUGUUCAAAGCCCUGUGAAUACAUGAAAUCCUGGAAACCAUUUGAACAUGAAUGGUCAGAGGUUUUGAAUUUGAGUGGUUC
rnacentral:lncRNA from 1 species